rnacentral:lncRNA from 1 species
CCCAUGUGGGGCUCACAGUCUUCAUCCCCAUUUUACAGAUGAGAUCACUGAGGCCCAGAGAAGUGAAGUGACUUGCCCAAAAUGACACAGCUCAUAAGUGGAGGGGGCGGGAUUAGAACCCAUGAUGUCUGACUCCCAAGCCCGUGCUCUGUCCACUGAGCCACGUUGCAUCCUUUCAUUCAUUCAUUCAGUUGUUUUUAUUGAGUGCUUACCGUGUGCAGAGCACUGAACUAAGCGCUUGGGAGAGUACAGUAUAACAAUACACAGAUUCGCUGCCCACAACAAGCUUACAGUCUAUCUCUUCUCGCCUACACCGUCUCGCUGCUGUUUCUCUGUUGGUGUUUGAUUCCCGGCCCCAGUCGUAGAAAUGGAUGCCAACAAGGGGCUUUCGCUGAUGGAGCUGAGCCCGCCCCACCCCUGGGAGGUACACCCGCGGACCCCUGAAACCCUGGCCUUCGGAGAGGUGCAGCUACCCGACCCCGAGGAGGCCCGCGGACGGGAGGCCGGACAUCCCCAUUUAGGAGGGGGAGACGGAGAAGCCGACGCUGUGGUACCUCGACCGGAGCGGCGUGCCGCUGACUGACGUCCGGGUGGUGUCAUUUGGGAUCCGGCAGCAGGCCCUCCCCUUGUUCCCCCAAGGCCCGGAAAGCUGCCUGGUUUCAGUCCGAGCCCCAGGACUCGGCUCCUGGAGGAGGCACCGCCCCGGGCCGCCCAUCCCCAGGUGGACGAACACUUGCGAUUCGUGAUCCUCUUGGACGGGGUUCGCCCGGAGAUGAACACCUGCAUCAUGGUCGAGUACAAAGGUGCUUGGCUCCCUGUGCCCUGUACCGAGCCCCUCCUGGGUGCCCGGCCCCGUACCCAAUCCCUUCUGUAUGCCUGGCCCUGUGUUGAGAGCCUACUGUGUGCCUGGCACUCUACCAAUAAAAACCGUGAUAUUUGUUAAGCACCUGGUUCAUUCAGUUGUAUUUAUUGAGCACUUACUGUGUGCAGAGCACUGUACUGAGUGCUUGGGAGAGUACGAUAUAACAGAUCCAGGAAGUAUUUUCCUUCUACUUCUUGUAGCAAUUUAGCAAGUGAAAAGUUGGAGAAUUUUUGAGACAAUCGGACAGUGGCCGCGUCUGCCUGGGACAAGGGUGUUUCUGAAGAUAAUUUUCCAGAAGGAAAUAGCCUCUGCCGCCUAACAUUAGCUGCCCAGCCAACUCUGGCCGGGAUGGUACCGGGCCACUUGACUACUGGGUCUCGUGACGUUUGUCCCGCCCUCGGGCCCAGAGGGAAACUGCCCAUCGGCGUGAUUGGCAGAUGGCAUUUCAGGCUCAUCCACCCCCUAGUCCCGUCCCCUCACCAGUUUGCCACCCCGGG